CUUAGGUCUAAAUGCGUGUAUCACGUUAUUGGACCUUCAAAAGAGUGUGACUUUGUUACGAACUUGAAAACGAUUGCUGAUCUUGUCAGAGGUUGCCUCGAGAAAACCGUACAAGACGGGUACACUUCCAUUGUGUUCCCAGUGCUUAACCAAGGAAGAUUGAGAGCCGACAAAGUGGCUGAAGCUAUGGUGAAAGCAGUUGUCCAGUUUUGUAAUAAACCGCACGAAAACAUAUCGGAUAUAUUGAUUGUCAUAUAUUACACUGACAAAUUUACUGAGAAUGUAUUUGAACAAACAAUUCCAACAC